UACGAAGGGGGCUAGCGUUGCUCGGAAUCACUGGGCGUAAAGGGUGCGUAGGCGGGGCGUUAAGUCAGGGGUGAAAUCCUGGAGCUCAACUCCAGAACUGCCUUUGAUACUGAGGAUCUUGAGUUCGGGAGAGGUGAGUGGAACUGCGAGUGUAGAGGUGAAAUUCGUAGAUAUUCGCAAGAACACCAGUGGCGAAGGCGGCUCACUGGCCCGAUACUGACGCUGAGGCACGAAAGCGUGGGGAGCAAACAGG
rnacentral:rRNA from 1 species